ensembl:lncRNA
CACCAGGAUACAGUAGACCACUGGAUGGCAACAUCUCAAAGGUGAGUAGCUGAGAGUUGCCCCUUCAACAUCUUCAACAACAUCUUCCCACUGGAGUUCAUUCUCUCUCUCACAGCUUUAUCGGAGUGGAGCCGGAGCCACAGCUCACAGCUGGACACCAACUCAAGAUGAGGACCCGCUCGAGGUGCACAUGGUGCUGCUGGAACUGGAAGAUGUGGAGAAACGGAUCCGUGAGCUACUCGACAAGCAGGCCCAGCUGCUUGAGCGAAGAACCGCGCUAGAAACAUCUUGUGCUUCUGCCUACGUAUCCAAGGGACUGUGCACCCAAGACUUUUCCAGCCGAGGUCUCCGUCACACCGGCGCCGACACACCACGGACCUUGGGUGCACCAGCAGCAAAAGGCGAGAGCCAUACCCCACACAAGGACUUUUCGAGAUCCCAACCAGGAACCGCUUCACCCCUCUCCGUCAGAUCAGACCAGACGCUGUGAUCAUCGUGGACUCCAUUGUGCGAAACG